ACGGGAGGCAGCAGUGGGGAAUAUUGCACAAUGGGCGCAAGCCUGAUGCAGCGACGCCGCGUGAGCGAAGAAGUAUUUCGGUAUGUAAAGCUCUAUCAGCAGGGAAGAUAAUGACGGUACCUGACUAAGAAGCACCGGCUAAAUACGUGCCAGCAGCCGCGGUAAUACGUAUGGUGCAAGCGUUAUCCGGAUUUACUGGGUGUAAAGGGAGCGUAGGCGGUUUUACAAGUCUGAUGUGAAAGCCCGGGGCUCAACUCCGGUAUUGCAUUGGAAACUGUAGAACUAGAGUGUCGGGGGGGUAAGUGGAAUUCCUAGUGUAGCGGUGAAAUGCGUAGAUAUUAGGAGGAACACCAGUGGCGAAGGCGGCUUACUGGACGAUUACUGACGCUGAGGCUCGAAAGCGUGGGGAGCAAACAGGAUUAGAUACCCUGGUA
rnacentral:rRNA from 1 species